rnacentral:sRNA from 1 species
UGAAUUUCUCUUUCUACACUACAAAAUUUACUAGCAGUACAUAUAGGGUAGGCUGAAUUUUCAGCCUUAUACUAGUUGGAAUCUCAACUUUUCACCAGAGUCUUUUAGCCACUUAAAAAACCAUCAUAAAAAACUUUAAUUUCGAUAAAACUACACAUACUUUCGGAUUUGUUCUUAAAACUACGCCUCCAAUUGAACCGACCAGUUAACCGAUAAUUUUUCAUCCGGUUUGACUUACCCAGAAUUUAACCAAAAUUAAUCCGAUUUUGAUUCUAUUUUAGCAAUUUUGAC